GACGAACGCUGGCGGCGUGCUUAACACAUGCAAGUCGAGCGGUAAGGCCCUUUCGGGGUACGACGAGCGGCGAACGGGUGGAGUAACACGUGGGUGACCUCGCCCUCCAGCUCUGGGAGUAAGCCUCGGGAAACCGGGGUACGUAAUACUGGAUAUGACUCCAUGACGCAUGUUGUGGGGUGGAAAGCCUUGUGCGGCUGAGGAUGGGCCCGCGGCCUAUCAGCUUGUUGGUGGGGUGAUGGCCUACCAAGGCGACGACGGGUAGCCGGCCUGAGAGGG
rnacentral:rRNA from 1 species